rnacentral:rRNA from 1 species
AUUGAACGCUGGCGGCAUGCCUUACACAUGCAAGUCGAACGGCAGCACGGGUGCUUGCACCUGGUGGCGAGUGGCGAACGGGUGAGUAAUACAUCGGAACAUGUCCUGUAGUGGGGGAUAGCCCGGCGAAAGCCGGAUUAAUACCGCAUACGAUCUACGGAUGACAGCGGGGGACCUUCGGGCCUCGCGCUAUAGGGUUGGCCGAUGGCUGAUUAGCUCGUUGGUGGGGUAAAGGCCUACCAAGGCGACGAUCAGUAGCUGGUCUGAGAGGACGACCAGCCACACUGGGACUGAGACACGGCCCAGACUCCUACGGGAGGCAGCAGUGGGGAAUUUUGGACAAUGGGCGAAAGCCUGAUCCAGCAAUGCCGCGUGUGUGAAGAAGGCCUUCGGGUUGUAAAGCACUUUUGUCCGGAAAGAAAUCCUUGGCCCUAAUACGGUCGGGGGAUGACGGUACCGGAAGAAUAAGCACCGGCUAACUACGUG